UCAUAUGCUUGUCUCAAAGAUUAAGCCAUGCAU
rnacentral:rRNA from 1 species